AGGCGAUUAGUUAAAAGAUAUAACAUUUGAUUUCGGCUCAAAAUUUCAUGGUUUAACCCCAUGAUCAGCCUG
rnacentral:tRNA from 1 species